UUUUGGCCUCUUCUAGAUAGCGGUGCAGGAGUCAGUGGCUCAGUUGUUCAUGGCCCUGAAGGUCCAGGGGUAUCCGACCCUCAAGGUACCCUAUGAGACGCUGAACAAACGCUUUCGCGCCACUCAGAACAUUGACCGGGAGACCAGCCACGUCACUAUGGUGGUGGCCGAGCUGGAGAAGACGCUGAGUGGCUGCCCCGCCGUGGACUCUGUGGUCAGCCUGCUGGACGGCGUGGUGGAGAAACUCAGCGUCCUUAAGAGGAAGGCGGUGGAGUCCAUCCAGGCUGAGGAUGAGAGCGCCAAGCUGUGCAAGCGCCGGAUCCAGCACCUCAAAGAGCACAGCAGCGAGCAGCCCGUGGCGGCCAGCGUGUGGCAGAGGAAGCGCAUGGCCGCAGGAUGCUGGAGCACCUGCUGCGCUGCGGCUACUACAACACGGCUGUCAGGGUGGCGCGCCAGAGCGGCAUCGAGGACCUCGUGAAUAUCAAGAUGUUUCGGCCGAAGAGGUAGAGGAGUCCCUGGAGCGACUUGAGACGGCCACCUGCCUGGCCUGGUGCCAUGACAACACGUCCCGGCUCCGGAAGAUGAAGAGCUGCCUGGAGUUCAGCCUCAGAAUCCAGGAGUUCAUUGAACUCAUCCGGCAAAAUAAGAGAUUGGACGCCGUGAGACAGGCGAGAAAGCACUUCAACCAAGCAGAAGGGAGCCAGCUGGAUGAGGUGCGCCAGGCCAUGGGCAUGCUGGCCUUCCUCCCUGACACACACAUCUCCCCGUACAAGGACCUCCUGGACCCCGCACGGUGGCGGAUGCUGAUCCAGCAGAUCCCGUACGACAACUACCGACUACACCAGCUGGAAAACAACUCCGUGUUCACCCUCAGCCUGCAGGCCGGCCUCUCCGCCAUCAAGACACCACAGUGCUACAAGGAGGACGGCAGCUCCAAGAGCCCCAACUGCCCUGUGUGCAGCCGCUCCCUCAACAAGCUGGCUCAGCCCCUGCCCAUGGCCCACUGUGCCAACUCCCGCCUGGUCUGCAAGAUCUCCGGCGUUGUGAUGAACGAGAACAACCCGCCCUUGAUGCUGCGCAACGGCUACGUCUACAGCUACAAUUCUCUGCUUUCUAUCCGUCAAGAUGAUAAAGUCGUUUGCCCAAGAACCAAAGAAGUCUUUCACUUCUCACAAUCCGAGAGAGAAGGUGUACAUCAUGUAGGCCCCUCGUCGCCAAGCGUACGCCAAGGGUACGGCUGCAGCGGGCGGGGAGGCCGCGCCUUCCUCCUGCCCCGCGCUCCAGCUGGCCGCGGCGCUUCUGUUCUUGCGACCAAAGAUCAGCGAGCAGCGAUAAAUACUCUUUAGGAAGAGAGGAAAUAAGAUUUAAUAAAUUUGUACUUGAAAACAACAUUUUGAUUGGUAGGAUUUUGCAACAUGUCAACCAUUUGAUGCUUCUGAAAAGUACUUUCAACUUUCGAAGGAAACUUUCCUUUAAAGACUGACCUAAACCCCGAGGGAAACUUUAGAACGUUUCAAAAAUAGGAGUCCACGAUUUCCCCGUGUUUUUGGUUUCUUCCCUUCUGCGAACGGUGAGACUUGGAGAACAGGCUGGUCCUUCGCCACCUCCCAGAGCCCCUGGCCCGGCCUGGGAAAGGUGGCGGCGGCGCUGGACUGAGCUGCAGCGACCCGCAAUGCCGCGCCAUGAGGGACACACGGCUUCCUUCGAGAGCUGCUGCCGUGGGGGGCUGGCUUUGAGGGCGCCUGCCUGCCUUCGGGCCGUGUCCGCGGGACUGUCUGCGUCGGUGGGUAGGUUCCAUAUCACAUCCCCGUGUGCCGCCUUACUUCCUGCUUCGAGAAUGUAUAACGUGGAAAUCCACGGGACCAAGUUUCUGCAGAGGCCUUGCCGGGUGGUUCCAUAACUGUAGAGUCGAAUUAAUCGUUCAGUUGAGAGUACUGGUGACGUUUCAAAGCAAAUGAACCACCGUAGUUUUCACAGAACCAUAUCAUGGAGGUUUGUAGUUAGCGCUUAUUUUUGCGUGUUGAUGUUGACUAGCUAAUAAACUCUAAAUGUAAACCAUGGAA